AAGCACUACAGAUUAGCCAGUGUUUGUAAUUUAAUUAGUGUGAUUACGUAUUUAUGUGUUAAUGAGAGGAUAAGAUGAAUGCUUGUUGAGAUAUGAUCAUGAUUUCCUUGUAGAAUGAGGAAUUGUGACUGCAGCAGUUUAAUUCGAUACUCUUGGGAGGUGUGAGUUUAAGACCUCUUACACCAGGAAAUUCCAAUAUCGAUAUGGUGGUGGCAGUGAAGAGGAAGAGAUGAGGCAGCAAAAGUGACACCCUUUUCAUCACAAGAGAUACGUGGAAGAAAAAUAGUUCAGGAGUGUUUUCUCUGCCUCCCUGGAGGAAAGUCGCUGACACAGUGGUCCUUCCCUCAAAGGCACGGGGCUGGGCUCCUGAGGUGCACACAUUCCACCAGGCCUGCUUUUCUUCUGCUCUUAUGUUACAUACUUUUUCCAGGCAGCCUUGGUGUUAAGACUGUUGCCCUACAUGACUCUUCCAGGUGGGAUGUGAAGGCCUCUUCCAGCCUGGAGCUUCUCCCUCCGAUCUUGGAUCUGGUGGUAUGAAUGCACAGAGAAGGCAGCCGGCAGGAUAAUUACCCAAUUCAAGCAUGGAUGAAUCCACAGAUGGACUAUUCCAUAUGAGCAUGCGUUCUUUAAAUAAACAAAUAAUAAACCAAACA
rnacentral:lncRNA from 1 species